UACGUAGGGGGCUAGCGUUGUCCGGAAUCAUUGGGCGUAAAGAGCGUGUAGGCGGCCCGGUAAGUCCGCUGUGAAAGUCGGGGGCUCAACCCUCGAAUGCCGGUGGAUACUGUCGGGCUAGAGUGCGGAAGAGGCGAGUGGAAUUCCUGGUGUAGCGGUGAAAUGCGCAGAUAUCAGGAGGAACAUCGGUGGCGAAGGCGGGUCUCUGGGCCGAUACUGACGCUGAGGAGCGAAAGCGUGGGGAGCGAACAGG
rnacentral:rRNA from 1 species